AAUUAGAGUGUUCAAAGCAGGCAGAUCCAAUUUUCUGCCACAGAAUACAUUAGCAUGGGAUAAUGGAAUAGGACCCUGUCCUCCAUUUUCAGUUGGUUUGCCGCGAGGACCAGGGUAAUGAUUAAUAGGGAUAGUUGGGGCAUUAAUAUURAAUUGUCAGAGGUGAAAUUCUUGGAUUUAUGAAAGAUUAACUUCUGCGAAAGCAUCUGCCAAGGAUGUUUUCAUAAUCAAGAACGAAAGUUAGGGGAUCGAAGACGAUCAGAUACCGUCGUAGUCUUACCAUAAACGAUGCCGACCAGCGAUUAGGAGACGUUGAAUACAAAACACCACCAUGGCAUUGCGGUCGUCUUUGGUGUCGCUCACAAGGCGGCACCGGGGCGGCUCCGUACAGCCACCCAGCGGCCCGGUGAAUGACUCCGAA
rnacentral:rRNA from 1 species